rfam:Tupaia chinensis contig79524, whole genome shotgun sequence.
GUGUUUGCUUUGGCAGCACAUAUACUAAAAUGGAAACAAUACAGAGAAGAUUAGCAUGGCCCCUGAACAAGGAUGACAUGCAAAUUUGUAAAGUAUUCCACAUUUUU